rnacentral:rRNA from 1 species
UACGUAGGGUGCGAGCGUUAAUUGGAAUUACUGGGCGUAAAGCGUGCGCAGGCGGCGCGUUAAGCCAGGUGUGAAAGCCCCGAGCUUAACUUGGGAAUUGCGCUUGUGACUGGCGUGCUGGAGUGUGGCAGAGGGAGGUGGAAUUCCACGUGUAGCAGUGAAAUGCGUAGAGAUGUGGAGGAACACCGAUGGCGAAGGCAGCCUCCUGGGCCAGCACUGACGCUCAUGCACGAAAGCGUGGGGAGCAAACAGG